rnacentral:rRNA from 1 species
GACGAACGCUGGCGGCGUGCUUAACACAUGAAAGUCGAGCGGAGCGGCGGACGGGUGAGUAAUGCCUAGGACUCUGCCUGGUAGUGGGGGAUAACGUCCGGAAACGGGCGCUCAUACCGCAUACUAUCAGAUGAGCCUAGGUCGGAUUAGCUAGUUGGUGGGGUAAAGGCCUACCAAGGCGACGAUCCGUAACUGGUCUGAGAGGAUGAUCAGUCACACUUGAACUGAGACACGGUCCAGACUCCUACGGGAGGCAGCAGUGGGGAUUAUUGGACAAUGGGCGAAAGCCUGAUCCAGCCAUGCCGCGUGUGUGAAGAAGGUCUUCGGAUUGUAAAGCACUUUAAGUUGGGAGGCGUUACCAACAGAAUAAGCACCGGCUAACUCCGUGCCAGCAGCCGCGGUAAUUC